GUGAAUCAUCGAAUCUUUGAACGCACCUUGCGCUCCUUGGUAUUCCUUGGAGCAUGCCUGUUUGAGUAUCAUGAAUUCUUCAAAGUAAAUCUUUUGUUAAUUCAAUUGGUUUCACUUUGGUAUUGGAGGUCUUUUGCAGCUUCACACCUGCUCCUCUUUGUGCAUUAGCUGGAUCUCAGUGUUAUGCUUGGUUCCACUCGGCGUGAUAAAUUAUCUAUCGCUGAGGACACUGUAAAAAGGUGGCCAAGGUAAAUGCAGAUGAACCGCUUCCAAUAGUCCAUUGACUUGGACAAAUACCUU
rnacentral:misc_RNA from 1 species